rnacentral:rRNA from 1 species
UUCCGGUUGAUCCCGCCGGACCUGACUGCUAUCGGAUUGAUACUAAGCCAUGUGAGUCUUUGUAGUAAUACAAGGCAUACGGCUCAGUAACACGUAGUCAACCUACCCUGUGGACGAGGAUAAUCUCGGGAAACUGAGGAUAAUACUCGAUAGAUCAUAAUGCCUGGAAUGGUUUAUGGUUGAAAUGAUUCGUCGCCAUAGGAUGGGACUGCGGCCUAUCAGCUUGUUGGUGAGGUAAUGGCCCACCAAGGCGAUUACAGGUACGGGCUCUGAGAGGAGAAGCCCGGAGAUGGGUACUGAGACAAGGACCCAGGCCCUAUGGGGCGCAGCAGGCGAGAAAACUUUGCAAUGUGCGAAAGCACGACAAGGUUAAUCCGAGUGAUUUCUGCUAAAGAAAUCUUUUGCAAGUCAUAAAACCACUAGUGAAUAAGGGGUGGGCAAGUUCUGGUGUCAGCCGCCGCGGUAAAACCAGCACCUCAAGUGGUCAGGAGGAUUAUUGGGCCUAAAGCAUCCGUAGCCGGCUCUGUAAGUUUUCGGUUAAAUCCAUGUGCUCAACGCAUGGGCUGCCGAAAAUACUGCAUAGCUAGGGAGUGGGAGAGGUAGACGGUACUCGGUAGGAAGGGGUAAAAUCCUUUGAUCUAUCGAUGACCACCUGUGGCGAAGGCGGUCUACCAGAACACGUUCGACGGUGAGGGAUGAAAGCUGGGGGAGCAAACCGGAUUAGAUACCCGGGUAGUCCCAGCUGUAAACGAUGCAGACUCGAUGAUGCAUUGGCAUAUAGCCAGUGCAGUGUCGCAGGGAAGCCGUUAAGUCUGCCGCCUGGGAAGUACGUACGCAAGUAUGAAACUUAAAGGAAUUGGCGGGGGAGCACCACAAGGGGUGAAGCCUGCGGUUCAAUUGGAGUCAACGCCGGG